GCUCGGCGGCCCGCAGCGGCUAACAGGAACCGACACCCCAUUGGCCAGAGAAAGCUGCAAUUUCUAGGAACCGGAGGCAUCUCUAGAGACAUGCAAGAGUUUUGCCCCAAGGGCAGAUGUUGUUCUCCACAGCUAAUCCCCAAACAUCCCUUUUAGCAUCACUCAGUGGGGAAGACUGAGGGUGAAUAUAACACACCAGACACAGAAUUACUGCGGAGAAGAAAGCAAGCAAGUAAAACUGUACAGUGUACAGUGAAGUGUACAGCUGGGUGAAGAUUUACAUCUGUAUUCACCUGUAUAACCACUACCCAGAUCAAGAUCUAGAUUCUAGAACACUUCUAGCUCCCCAGAAUGUUUCCUUGCAUCUAUUCCAGUCUAUAACCUCCCUUCCCAGAGGACAGAAGAUUGUCCUCAACUCCAAUCCAGUUUCGCAUUGUCCAUCUAUUCUAGGCUCCCUCUUCCUUCCAUUUCCCCAGGGAGAGGUUGCUAUGGAGAUGAAAUUAUAGUAAGCCAGCUGUCAAUACCAAGCAAUGAAACAGCCCCAGGAAGACUGGCGUGUUCCCACCGUGCAGGACGUGCAGUGAGCAGCAUUCUUCUGUCUCCCACACCUCUACCUCUAAGUACAAACAGUGACAAGACAGUGACUUCUGCCCCUGCCUGUCUCACUAGUAACAAACUAAUGAACAUUAUGAGUAUAGCUAUAUCCCAAAAUAGCUGCAUGCCUCACUGGGGCACCUGAAAGAUAAGGAGAACAAAGCUUCCAGUUUAAGUUGUAUUGUAUUUAUCUAACAUUAUGAGAUGACAGAAGAAAAGCAGAUUAUUCCUCAAGAGACAUGACCUUUUUACUGGGGAAGAGAAACUAAAGUGCAAUGAGAAAACUGAGAGUAUAAUUUUCCUUUAAAUAAAAAGUAAAUAAAAAUGCCCAAAUUUGA